rnacentral:rRNA from 1 species
UACGAGUGCCCCGAGCGUUAUCCGGAAUCAUUGGGCGUAAAGGGUGUGUAGGUGGCAGUGUUAGUCGUCUGCUAAAGCCUGGGGCUCAACCCCAGUAGUGCGGACGAAACGGCACAGCUAGAGGAUGGCAGGGAUGUAUGGAACUCAUGGAGUAGGGGUGAAAUCCGUUGAUAUCAUGGGGAACACCGAAAGCGAAGGCAGUACAUUGGGCCAUUCCUGACACUGAAACACGAAAGCGUGGGUAGCGAAUGGG